GGACCCGCACAAGUAGUGGAGCAUGUGGUUUAAUUCGAUGAUACGCGAGGAACCUUACCAGGGCUUAAAUGUAAGUUGCAUAAGUUAGAGAUAGCUUUUUCUUCGGACUACUUACAAGGUGCUGCAUGGUUGUCGUCAGCUCGUGCCGUGAGGUGUCAGGUUAAGUCCUAUAACGAGCGCAACCCCUGUUGUUAGUUGCCAUCGAGUAAUGUCGGGAACUCUAACGAAACUGCCGGUGCAAACCGUGAGGAAGGUGGGGAUGACGUCAAAUCAUCACGGCCCUUACGUCCUGGCUACACACGUGCUACAAUGGUCGGUACAGAGAGCAGCCACUACGCGAGUAGGAG
rnacentral:rRNA from 1 species